AUGGGCAACUGCUGCCGCUCCCCGGCGGCCGCGGCGCGGGAGGACGUCUCGUCGUCGCACUUCCCCGCCUCCGCCGGGAAGAAGAAGCCCCACCAGGCGCGCAACGGCGGCGGCGCGGGGGGAGGCGGAGGCGGGGCCGGCGCCGGCGCCGGCGGGGAGAAGAAGCGCCUCUCGGUGCUCGGGGAGGAGGGCCGCGACGUGAGCGGCGGGAUCGACGACAAGUACGCGCUGGACCGGGAGCUGGGGCGGGGCGAGUUCGGGGUCACGUACCUGUGCAUGGACCGGGGAUCCAAGGAGCUGCUCGCCUGCAAGUCCAUCUCCAAGCGCAAGCUGCGCACCCCCGUCGACGUGGAGGACGUGCGCCGGGAGGUGGCCAUCAUGCGCCACCUGCCCCGGAGCGCCAGCAUCGUCACGCUGCGGGAGGCCUGCGAGGACGAGGGCGCCGUGCACCUCGUCAUGGAGCUCUGCGAGGGCGGGGAGCUCUUCGACCGCAUCGUCGCGCGGGGCCACUACACGGAGCGCGCCGCCGCCGCCGUCACGCGCACCAUCGUCGAGGUCGUGCAGCUCUGCCACCACCACGGCGUCAUCCACCGCGACCUCAAGCCCGAGAACUUCCUCUUCGCCAACAAGAAGGAGAACUCCCCGCUCAAGGCCAUCGACUUCGGCCUCUCCAUCUUCUUCAAGCCCGGUGAGAAGUUCUCUGAAAUUGUGGGAAGUCCCUACUAUAUGGCUCCUGAAGUGCUGAAGAGAAACUAUGGACCUGAAAUAGACAUUUGGAGUGCUGGCGUUAUCUUGUAUAUAUUGUUAUGCGGUGUUCCUCCAUUUUGGGCUGAGACUGAACAAGGAGUUGCACAAGCUAUCCUUCGGGGAAAUAUAGAUUUUAAGAGAGAACCCUGGCCCCAUGUUUCUGAUAAUGCUAAAGAUCUAGUUCGGCAGAUGCUUCAGCCUGACCCGAAAAUCAGGCUAACGGCAAAGCAAGUUCUUGAGCAUACAUGGCUUCAAAAUGCCAAGAAAGCUCCAAAUGUUCCUCUUGGAGACAUUGUGAAGUCAAGGCUGAAGCAGUUUUCAAGGAUGAACAGAUUCAAAAGAAGAGCUUUAAGGGUUAUUGCUGACCACUUGUCGGCUGAAGAAGUUGAGGACAUAAAGGAGAUGUUCAAAGUGAUGGAUACUGAUAAUGACGGUAUAGUCUCAUAUGAAGAGUUGAAGAGCGGGAUCGCAAAAUUUGGUUCUCACCUUGCAGAAUCUGAAGUGCAAAUGUUAAUAGAAGCUGUGGAUACAAAUGGUAGAGGAGCACUAGAUUAUGGUGAAUUUUUGGCUGUCUCACUUCAUCUACAAAGGAUGGCAAAUGAUGAGCACCUUCGGCGGGCCUUCCUGUUUUUCGAUAAGGACGGCGACGGUUUUAUCGAGCCUGAGGAGCUUCAGGAGGCCCUGGCGGAGGAUGGGGCGGUUGAUAUUACUGAAGUGGUGAAGGACAUAUUGCAAGAAGUUGACACCGACAAGGAUGGCAAAAUUAGCUUCGAAGAGUUUGUAGCAAUGAUGAAAACUGGCACAGACUGGCGAAAGGCUUCGCGGCAUUAUUCGAGAGGACGUUUCAAUAGCCUAAGCAUAAGGCUUAUCAAGGAUGGAUCUGUAAAGAUGGGAAACGAGUGA
rnacentral:rRNA from 1 species